rfam:Cavia porcellus supercont2_15 genomic scaffold, whole genome shotgun sequence.
GGGGAUGUAGCUCAGUGGCAUAAGUGCCUGCCUGGCAAGCAGGAGGUCGUGAGUUUGAUCCCCCCCCCCA